ACUUCUUGGUGCAGCUCCACAGGCCACAUCCCUCAUGCACAGAGAAGGUUCUUGGCUUAUUGUGAGAUUUUGGCAUCUUUUGUGAAAUGUGCUGAUGUCAGGACACCACAGCUAUGGGAGAGAAGAUGAGGAAGGAGAAUGAAACAAAGGUCCUAACCCUCCAGCCUUUGAUCUGGAUGAGAUUAGAUCCUGCUAUAAAUUUAGGACAAGCCUUCGGA